UCGGAGGAAAAGAAACCAACAGGGAUUGCCUUAGUAGCGGCGAGUGAAGCGGCAAAAGCUCAAAUUUGAAAUCUGGCACUUUCAGUGUCCGAGUUGUAAUUUGAAGAAGGUAUCUUUGGGUCUGGCUCUUGUCUAUGUUUCUUGGAACAGAACGUCACAGAGGGUGAGAAUCCCGUGCGAUGAGAUGUCCCAGACCUAUGUAAAGUUCCUUCGAAGAGUCGAGUUGUUUGGGAAUGCAGCUCUAAGUGGGUGGUAAAUUCCAUCUAAAGCUAAAUAUUGGCGAGAGACCGAUAGCGAACAAGUACAGUGAUGGAAAGAUGAAAAGAACUUUGAAAAGAGAGUGAAAAAGUACGUGAAAUUGUUGAAAGGGAAGGGCUUGAGAUCAGACUUGGUAUUUUGUAUGUUACUCUCUCGGGGGUGGCCUCUACAGUUUACCGGGCCAGCAUCAGUUUGAGCGGUAGGAUAAGUGCAAAGAAAUGUGGCACUGCUUCGGUAGUGUGUUAUAGUCUUUGUCGAUACUGCCAGCUUAGACUGAGGACUGCGGCUUCGGCCUAGGAUGUUGGCAUAAUGAUCUUAAGUCGCCCGUCUA
rnacentral:rRNA from 1 species